UACGUAGGGUGCGAGCGUUAAUCGGAAUUACUGGGCGUAAAGCGUGCGCAGGCGGUUUUAUAAGCCAGAUGUGAAAGCCCCGGGCUCAACCUGGGAAUGGCAUUUGGGACUGUAAAGCUGGAGUAUGGCAGAGGAGACUAGAAUUCCUGGUGUAGCAGUGAAAUGCGUAGAUAUCAGGAGGAAUACCGAUGGCGAAGGCAGCUCACUGGGCUCUACCUGACGCUGAGACGCGAAAGCGUGGGGAGCGAACCGG
rnacentral:rRNA from 1 species